GGUGACGAUUGCAACAGCCCCAGCAGGCACCUCAGCAGCCAGGAGGGACGAGGAGCAACCCCACCAUGCCCAUGGGUCACUGGCUGAUUGGCCAAGGGCAGAGGCGGCAGCGGGAGGAAGCCCAGCUCCCACCCACCAGCAGCGGGAUAAAACCCUCACGUUUAGGGCAAAGCAGCACUCUCUGGCUGCAGGGGCACGUGGACACGAGGGAUUCCUCUUGGCUCUCUUUGUGCCUGAGCACCAGGACCUCCAUCAGGUUCUUGUCACCUUGGUUUGUCUUCUCUGCUGCAGCCCCGUGAAGACGUGCUCCGGGCAUCAGCCAUGAAGAUCCUGUUCCUGCUCUUCCCCUUCUUCCUCCUCUUUCUCCAGGGCACUGCAGGAAUUACUCGCAUCUGCAGAACAAGAGGGGGAAUUUGUCGUUUAAGCAGGUGCCAGCUCGGUGAAAGACAGAUUGGGAGAUGCUCAACUUUCCAAGCCUGCUGCAGCAGGACAUGGGGUUGAUGUGCUGAAUGCUGUGAGCAGGAUGUCCCCCUCGCUUCUCACUCCUGGAAACAGCUGCUGAUGUCCUGUUCCAUGGGCCUGCUGUGGUUUGGCCACAGGCUGCUUUUCCCUGCUCAAAUAAAUGCGUGCAGUUUGGCAUUGCAGCUGGUG